rnacentral:lncRNA from 1 species
AAAAUUUGUUUUUUUUUUCUGAUCUCUUUUCCCUUGUAUUUUCUUUUUAAUUUUCAAUACAUAAAUUUGCUAACCCCUUAAAUCGGUUUACAAUCAGCCUUUUAUACCGAAACUAAUAAUAAUCAAUAAAACUCCUAUCUCUUGCUUGUUGUGCUGUGAUUCGUGGUUUGUUUGCAGGUGGAACGAGCGUUGUGCGAGGCGACGUGCGCGACAUGUGGGAUGACGUGUAGGAACUACUGCGGCGCGAGUUUGCUUCAAUGCCUAGGGUUUCUGCUAAACUUUUUGGUUUUUGGGCUAGCAGGCUAGGUUUGUAAUGGGCCCGGGUGUAAUUUAGGUUUUGGGUAUUAGUUGGGUCUGUUUUGAGUGGGCUGGGCAAAAUUUGUUUAUUACAGAGACCAUGUUGAACUGAUCCUCAUAGAAGUAUCUCCUUGGUCUUGAGAUCACGUACCUGACAUUGUGACGGUAGGAACUCAAACAUCACCUGGUUGUCUCUGGUGAACUUAGGGUGAGUUUAGAUUGGAGGUGCGUUUACCUGCGGUUAGUGUAAAAACAGCGGUGACGGUGAGAUUAGAUACUGUAGCGAUACUGUAGCGUGAGACAAAAAGUAAGUUAAACGCACCGCAC